rnacentral:rRNA from 1 species
GACGAACGCUGGCGGCGUGCUUAACACAUGCAAGUCGAACGGAAAGGCCCUGCUUUUGUGGGGUGCUCGAGUGGCGAACGGGUGAGUAACACGUGAGUAACCUGCCCUUGACUUUGGGAUAACUUCAGGAAACUGGGGCUAAUACCGGAUAGGAGCUCCUGCUGCAUGGUGGGGGUUGGAAAGUUUCGGCGGUUGGGGAUGGACUCGCGGCUUAUCAGCUUGUUGGUGGGGUAGUGGCUUACCAAGGCUUUGACGGGUAGCCGGCCUGAGAGGGUGACCGGCCACAUUGGGACUGAGAUACGGCCCAGACUGCUACGGGAGGCAGCAGUGGGGAAUAUUGCACAAUGGGCGGAAGCCUGAUGAAGCAGCGCCGCGUGCGGGAUGACGGCCUUCGGGUUGUAAACCGCUUUCGCCUGUGACGAAGCGUGAGUGACGGUAAUGGGUAAAGAAGCACCGGCUAACUACGUG